rnacentral:rRNA from 1 species
UGCCAGCAGCCGCGGUAAUUCCAGCUCCAAUAACGUAUAUUAAAGUUGUUGACNGUUAAAAGCUCGUAGUUGAAUUUCGGGACUAAUAUGUCGGUCGUACUUUGUACGUACUAGCAUUAUUGGUUUCUCCCUUCUGACGAACCACGAUGUCAUUAAUUUGGUGUCGCGGGAAAUCAGGACUGUUACUUUGAAAAAAUUAGAGUGUUAAAGCAAGCUCGCGCUUGAAUACAUUAGCAUGGAAUAAUGAAAUAGGACGUUUGAUUACUAUUUUGUUGGGUUUCUAGGAUCGACGUAAUGAUUAAUAGGGAUAGUUGGGGGCAUUAGUAUUCAAUUGUCAGAGGUGAAAUUCUUGGACUUAUUGAAGACUAACUUCUGCGAAAGCAUUUGCCAAGGAUGUUUUCAUUAAUCAAGAACGAAAGUUAGGGGAUCGAAGACGAUCAGAUACCGUCGUAGUCUUAACCAUAAACUAUGCCGACUAGGGAUCGGACGAUGUUAAUUUUUUAAUGACUCGUUCGGCGCCUUACG